UGGGGAAUUUUGGACAAUGGGCGCAAGCCUGAUCCAGCCAUGCCGCGUGCAGGAUGAAGGCCUUCGGGUUGUAAACUGCUUUUGUACGGAACGAAAAGACUCCUUCUAAUAAAGGGGGUACAUGACGGUACCGUAAGAAUAAGCACCGGCUAACUACGUGCCAGCAGCCGCGGUAAUACGUAGGGUGCGAGCGUUAAUCGGAAUUACUGGGCGUAAAGCGUGCGCAGGCGNUUNUAUAAGACAGAUGUGAAAUCCCCGGGCUCAACCUGGGAACUGCAUUUGUGACUGUAUAGCUAGAGUACGGCAGAGGGGGAUGGAAUUCCGCGUGUAGCAGUGAAAUGCGUAGAUAUGCGGAGGAACACCGAUGGCGAAGGCAAUCCCCUGGGCCUGUACUGACGCUCAUGCACGAAAGCGUGGGGAGCAAACAGGAUUAGAUNCCCUGGUAGUCCACGCCCUAAACGAUGUCAACUGNUUGUUGGGAAUUCACUUUCUCAGUAACGAAGCUAACGCGUGAAGUUGACCGCCNGGGGAGUACGGCCGCAAGGUUGAAACUCAAAGGAAUUNANNG
rnacentral:rRNA from 1 species